rnacentral:RNase_P_RNA from 1 species
AGAGUGGGCCAGGCGGCCGCUCGGGCGGGUCCGGCUUCGGGCCCGCGCGGGAGGAAAGUCCGAACUGGACCGGGCACGGUGAUGGCUAACAGCCACCGGCAGUGAUGCCAGGGAAAGUGCCACAGAAAAGACACCGCCGAUGGCCUGGGGUGGGGCCGAUUCACGUGAUCGACCCGACCCGACACAUGGCUCAGGCAAGGGUGAAAAGGUGCGGUAAGAGCGCACCGCGCGACCGGUGACGGUCGCGGCAGGGCAAACCCCACCGCCAGCAAGCCCAAAUAGGCGGCGAAGCCCGAUUCGUCGGGCGCGAUGCGGCCCGUGUCGGAUCAGCCGCGGGUAGGGUGCUCGAGCCGGCGAGCAAUCGUCGGCCCAGAUAGAUGGCCGCUGCCGCCGAGCGAUCGGCGGAGACAGAAUUCGGCUUAUCGGCCCGCUCUGCGA